rnacentral:rRNA from 1 species
GACAGAGGAUGCAAGCGUUAUCCGGAAUGAUUGGGCGUAAAGCGUCUGUAGGUGGCUUUUUAAGUCCGCCGUCAAAUCCCAGGGCUCAACCCUGGACAGGCGGUGGAAACUACCAAGCUGGAGUACGGUAGGGGCAGAGGGAAUUUCCGGUGGAGCGGUGAAAUGCGUAGAGAUCGGGAGGAACACCGGUGGCGAAGGCGGGUCUCUGGGCCGAUACUGACGCUGAGGAGCGAAAGCGUGGGGAGCGAACAGG